CAGAACUUGAAAACGUUCCUAAAUAUGGCAAACACAUCAACUACUCUGAGCUGCUCCACAAAAUAGAAAUAGAUCAUCUUUUGUGGAUCCUUCUAACUGUGUAAUGGAAACGCAGUGCCACGUAGUGCCACGGCGACACUCCCUCCCCAUCACACUGAGGACAGAGCGGUGUAACCCUGUGGGAAAGACUGUCACGGCUCACAGUUUACCCGAGGCCCCAGACCUGUCUUCAGCCUGCAGGGUGAUUUACAGUGCAGGCGACGGCGGGAGAGCACAGCGCUGUGAUCAGAGGCACGAAGCUCACCUGCAUGACAGAGUAGGCCAUACACGAUUCUAUUCGAGGGACUCACCGUCUUCCCUUAAAGGAAACAUGUUCUAAAAGCUUACAAAGCACUGCAAAUUCCCUUGAUGGCCAUGAACAAAACAUCCAAAAGUUCUUCAGUUUGAAAUAGAAGAGAUUCUAGAAUUUCUCCACCAAUGGUACCAUCGUGAGCAAAUGAAAAGGAAAGUAACCACAAUAUCACACAAAAAUAAAAACAUCACCAUAAUUAUUUUAAAAAAUUAUUCGGUUAGGAAAGCAAGGCUGCUGGUUAUCUGGUUGGAUAUAUAUCAGCUCACUGAAUAAAGUUCAGAGUUGCAAUCAUCUUUUUCAGUUACCAUUUAAUAAUUUCUGUUCCACUGGUGGUACAAAAUGUACUCAUUUUAAGAGGGAGAGUUGCAGGUUUGCACUGAGCUCAAAGUACAUUCUUUGUUCCCUUGGUGAUAAAAAGCCUCAGCCUGUCAAGUGACAUAGUCAGUUCAGCAAAGAAGGAGGACUGUGCCUUCCAGUUCAGGUGCUGUGAGGACUCUUGGCAGAAUCCCACUCAUGUUUAUUGCUGAACUCUGUCCUUUGUUACAUGAGAAGGCAAAGCAAAAGGCGCUGCCUUUAUGACGUCCAAAAAGUCCUCAGGAAGGUUCUGUUCCAUGCUUAUCUAAUAAUAUAAAGCAGUUCUAACCAACAGCAGGCACAUGGGAAAAAAGUUUGCUUAAAAGAAUUUUAAAAGAUGUUUAUGUGGAAAGGGUAUGGUAUGCAUGAAGAUCCUUUGCCCUCCCUUUCACAUCACGCUGCAUUUACAUAGCCUGAGAUGGAGGCUGGGCAAGUACUUAGCCAGUGUGAUCAGUGUUUAUGGACAAGCUGGUUAAUUUGGCUUUUAAAUGUGGAUUUUUAGCAACACGAGGUGGAAGGGCAAGAGAGUUCUUAAAUAAAUUUCUUUUUGUUUUUUAAGUUAAGUUGCAAUUCCUGACUUUAUUUCACAUUACCACAUGAUGUUUUCCAUAUGAGCAGCAUAUGAGAUGCUUCGAGCACUAGAAAAAAAGGCUAGGGUGAAUGGGGAAGAUUUUUUUUGGAGGUAGUGACAUGUAGAAUUUGGCCUAGUGUGAUUAGAUUUCAAGGCAAAUACAGUAAGGAGACUAUUCUAGAACCCAGGAGAUGGGAGACAGGAGGAGAAUAUCCAUUUCUGGGAAUAAGACCAGUUUGUUGGGUCUAAGCCUUCACGAAACUGUGUAUUCUAUAUCAAAUAGAAAAACCUCCCCCAACUAAAAAUUCUAAUAAUAUACAAUUCUAAUAAUAAAAGUCUAAAAAUUCAA